AUAUCAAUAAGCGGAGGAAAAGAAAACAAUCGUGAUUCCCCUAGUAACGGCGAGUGAAGCGGGAACAGCCCAACUUUGUAAUCUGGCGCCUCUGGCGUCCGAGUUGUAGUCUCGAGAAGCGUGACCCGUGCUGGCCCAUACCAAAUCGGUUCGGAUGCCGAGUCAUAGAGGGUAACAAUCCCGUUGGCAGUAUGGGUACCGGUGCAACAGCGGUCCGCUCUCAAAGAGUCGAGUUGUUUGGGAAUGCAGCUCUAAUUAGGUGGUAAAUUCCAUCCAAGGCUAAAUAUCGGCGGGAGACCGAUAGCGCACAAGUA
rnacentral:rRNA from 1 species